AAUUAAUUUGUUUCAAUCAACCCUGUUAUGAUUAAAGCAAAUUAGUCCCCCAACUAGGCUGCUCGCUGAGACCAUACUCCGAGCUACCUAGUUUUUAU
rnacentral:ncRNA from 1 species